rnacentral:lncRNA from 1 species
CUCCAUUCUGGAUGUUGUUUCCAGGGAGCAUAUUUGAAAUUUCUAUGAAACCUCUGCAAGAUGCCUACAAAUUACUGCAUUUGUAAUAUUUUGUCCCCUCCAAAUAUAUGUUGUUAGGCAUUUAAUGGCCUGUCAUACUGAAACAUUUUCCUUGCCACCACUAAGUCUGCAAUCAGCACAGAAUGAAAUAUUAUGGAUUUAGGUAGCUUGUUCCCCUUCUUACUGCAAAUUAGUUUCUGAAGUGAAAACCUCAGGUUGCUGCACAUUAUUUUUCUCAACGUACAAUUUUCUGUUAGCUGACAUAAAUUAGAAAUUGAUUUCAUAAUCCUUCCCAUUCCGUCUGUUGCUUCGAAUAAGAAUGUAAUAAAUAAAUAAAUAAAUGUCUAGUAUGAUUCUGCUGUAAAAGAUGAUUUAAGAAAACUAAUCAAUUGCACAUAAGGCAAAUGUAUUUGUUUAUUCAAAUACAGCCGCUGAGCUUGUCAGUUUAUACGUAUCAGCUAAAUGAAGCUAGCUUUUGCUGCUUAGGCCAUGGAUCAUGGCUUUUAAUACAAUCAGAACUCUUUAGUAGCCUUUUGCCAAAUUAUGUGUGUUUUCCUAUGAAAGGCCACCAGAGAAAGAUUGGAAAUAUAGCUAAGACAGCAAACAAAAUACUGCAGUGUACUCAUUUCAGCAUACUGUAUAUUUCCGACACGAGAUGAGUUUUGGAGCACAGAAAAAUAAGUACAUUUCUUGCAAUUCUAAACAUCGGUUAACCUAACCUCAGCUUAGGCUAGGACUUUCCAGCAUGUCCAUGAAAGAUGACUGAUUCAGCAUUACUGAGGAGGUAUCGCCCUUCCAGUCUUUUUUGAGAAUACGAGAUAGAUUUUUGCAGUCAAACAUUUGCCUUAUUGUAAAAGCCGAAUGGGAUACAAGGGCUAACUGUCCAUCAUGGAUCUGGCAGGGACAUUAUUCUUCUUGGAUGUGUGCAGGAUACUGGGUAAUGUUAAUUAAAAAGAAACAUGUGAUAAUGUUUGCAUUAUUGGCAUAGAACCUGAGAAUGUUGAUCUAGCUAUUCGAUGUAUGAUAUUUUAGUAAACUAUUUUGUUACCAGAA